CCUUCACAUUCUGCUUCUUCUUCCUUCUUAUAUCUCGCUUUUUAAGUACGUGUUCUAAGGCAUGCUGAUCUCGCUUCAAAAAGUAAUGAGCUUCCCUUUGAGUUAUCACAAAUUGUCUUUUUUUUCUGAUUUUGUUUUUUCUUCUUAAGUAGUUACUCAUGGCAGGUUUCUAUUGAAUAGCCGCCACCCGUGUGAUUAUCUCAGCGUCCGCAGCCAGCAAGCGCCGUCCCGGGCCGCGCGCAUAUCACGAGCGCUCUCGCGAUCUACUGACGCAACCCCCGAUGACAGCCAGUGGAAGCCACGAAGAGCUGCGGCCCAGCCCGGACUUCGUGGCGUGUUUCCACCGCCGACUGGUUCCCGCCACCCCCGCAGUCGUCGUUUCCGACUCGUGACCAACACACCUCCGCGCACCAGAAUAAGCACAGUCACUGAGUGGCGACUUUUGCACAGAGUGGCUGUUCUCUAACCUGGGCUAGACGCACCACAAGUCUCCCUGAAGUUGUGCGGCAUCCAAGAUGAUCCUCAAGAUUUUUAUUGGGCAAGACAAUUCAACAACGGUGCAGAUAGAAGGACGACUGCUCACCAUACUCUGGAUGGCGGGUUUGUCGUACCUCCUGACACAGUGCUUUCUCAGAGUCGCAAGAAGAGUGACGACUGCGUUGGGCUUCACAGAAAAUGGGGUUCUUGGAGGAUCUCUUGCAGCGGCAUGGCAAGCAUUGUACGGUGGACAAGUGUCUGCGAAUACCUUGUUUUCGUAUCUCCAGUCUUUUGGAAUGGUCGGACCCACAUUCCCCCAACAAGGUGCCCUAUUCGCUCUGGUAUUCCUCGUGCUCCAGAUUCUUUUUUGAACACGAAUAAAAAGCACACAAUUGGGUGGCUGUGAA